UACGGGGGGAGCAAGCGUUGUUCGGAUUUACUGGGCGUAAAGGGUGCGUAGGUGGUGAGGUAAGUCGGAUGUGAAAUCUCCGGGCUUAACCCGGAAACUGCAUUGGAAACUACCUUGCUGGAGGGUUUGAGGGGGGACUGGAAUUCUCGGUGUAGCAGUGAAAUGCGUAGAUAUCGAGAGGAACACCGGUGGCGAAGGCGAGUCCCUGGAAAACACCUGACACUGAGGCACGAAAGCUAGGGGAGCAAACAGG
rnacentral:rRNA from 1 species